AUUAUUUUGGCAGAUUAGUGCAUUAAAUUUAGAAUUUAAGUAUGUAUUUAUAUAAUUUUACAAAUAAUA
rnacentral:tRNA from 1 species